rnacentral:rRNA from 1 species
UAACCUGCCCAAGAGAUCGGGAUAACACCUGGAAACAGAUGCUAAUACCGGAUAACAACAGAUGAUGCCUAUCAAUUGUUUAAAAGAUGGUUCUGCUAUCACUCUUGGAUGGACCUGCGGUGCAUUAGCUAGUUGGUAGGGUAACGGCCUACCAAGGCGAUGAUGCAUAGCCGAGUUGAGAGACUGAUCGGCCACAUUGGGACUGAGACACGGCCCAAACUCCUACGGGAGGCAGCAGGC